GGGCGAUUAGCUCAGUUGGUAGAGCACCGUGUUCACAUCGCGGGGGUCACAUGUUCGAGUCAUGUAUCGCCCACCA
rnacentral:tRNA from 1 species